GUCCUAGCUGUAAACGAUGAGUACUAGGCAACGGGAAUCCGAUGUUCUCGUUGUCGAAGCGAAUGUGCUAAGUACUCCGCCUGGGGAGUACGGCCGCAAGGCUGAAACUCAAAGGAAUUGACGGGGGCUCACACAAGCGGUGGAGCAUGUGGUUCAAUUCGAAGCAACGCGCAGAACCUUACCAGGGUUUGAAAUGCAUGGAUUAGUCUCCUGAAAGGUAGAUGACGCCUUUGGUGGAACAUGCACAGGUGUUGCAUGGCUGUCGU
rnacentral:rRNA from 1 species